AACUUCUACAAAGAUCCCACUGACGAUGACCUUGAAAUGUAUCACUCUUUGGAGGAACUUGAGAGGGAAAAUGCUUUUAAUCAAGGAAUGGAGUCAACAUUGACCAAUCUCAGCUCUACACAAGCUGAUGCAUAGCAGGCAACAGCCAACAUCAAACUUUGACUCUUUGAGUGAGGCAGGGAGCACAACAAGCAAGUAUGAAGUGACGAUGAGAUGAAAUUUGA